rnacentral:rRNA from 1 species
GGGGUCCGGAAUGGGGGGACCUGAUCAGCCAUGCCGCGUGUGUGAAGAAGGCCUUUUGGUUGUAAAGCACUUUAAGCGAGGAGGAGGCUACCUAGAUUAAUACUCUGGGAUAGUGGACGUUACUCGCAGAAUAAGCACCGGCUAACUCUGUGCCAGCAGCCGCGGUAAUACAGAGGGUGCAAGCGUUAAUCGGAUUUACUGGGCGUAAAGCGUGCGUAGGUGGCCAAUUAAGUCAAAUGUGAAAUCCCCGAGCUUAACUUGGGAAUUGCAUUCGAUACUGGUUGGCUAGAGUAUGGGAGAGGAUGGUAGAAUUCCAGGUGUAGCGGUGAAAUGCGUAGAGAUCUGGAGGAAUACCGAUGGCGAAGGCAGCCAUCUGGCCUAAUACUGACACUGAGGUACGAAAGCAUGGGGAGCAAACAGGAUUAGAUACCCUGGUAGUC